rnacentral:rRNA from 1 species
GAUGAACGCUGGCGGCGUGCCUAAUACGUGCAAGUCGAGCGAACAGAUGAGGAGCUUGCUCCUCUGACGUUAGCGGCGGACGGGUGAGUAACACGUGGAAAACCUACCUAUAAGACUGGGAUAACUUCGGGAAACCGGAGCUAAUACCGGAUAAUAUAUUGAACCGCAUGGUUCAAUAGUGAAAGACGGUUUUGCUGUCACUUAUAGAUGGAUCCACGCCGCAUUAGCUAGUUGGUAAGGUAACGGCUUACCAAGGCAACGAUGCGUAGCCGACCUGAGAGAGUGAUCGGCCACACUGGAACUGAGACACGGUCCAGACUCCUACGGGAGGCAGCAGUAGGGAAUCUUCCGCAAUGGGCGAAAGCCUGACGGAGCAACGCCGCGUGAGUGAUGAAGGUCUUCGGAUCGUAAAACUCUGUUAUUAGGGAAGAACAAAUGUGUAAGUAACUAUGCACGUCUUGACGGUACCUAAUCAGAAAGCCACGGCUAACUACGUG